rnacentral:rRNA from 1 species
AUUGAACGCUGGCGGCAUGCCUUACACAUGCAAAUCGAACGGUAACGGGCCUUCGGGUGCCGCCGAGUGGCGAACGGGUGCGUAAUACAUCGGAACGUGCCCGAACGUGGGGGGUAACGCGGCGAAAGCUUUGCUAAUACCGCAUACGAUCCACGGAUGAGAGCGGGGGACCGCAAGGGCUUGCGCGGACGGAGCGGCCGAUGGCGGAUGAGGUAGUUGGUGGGAUAAAAGCUUACCAAGCCGACGAUAUGUAGCUGGUCUGAGAGGAUGAUCAGCCACACUGGGACUGAGACACGGCCCAGACUCCUACGGGGGGCAGCAGUGGGGAAUUUUGGACAAUGGGCGCAAGCCUGAUCCAGCCAUGCCGCGUGCAGGAUGAAGGCCUUCGGGUUGUAAACUGAUUUUGUACGGAAAGAAAAGCCUUCUUUUAAUACAGGAGGGUCAUGACGGUACCGUAAGAAUAAGCACCGGCUAACUACGUG